AGAGUUUGAUCCUGGCUCAGGACGAACGCUGGCGGCGUGCUUAACACAUGCAAGUCGAACGGAAUCCAUGGUGUAGCAAUACACCGGAAGAUUUAGUGGCGAACGGGUGAGGAUCACGUGAGAAACGUGCCCCAGACUCUGGGAUAACAAUUGGAAACGAUUGCUAAUACCGGAUGACGUCGGAGAAUCGCAUGAUUCACUGACGAAAGAUAUUUCGGUUUGGGAGCGUCUCGCGGCCUAUCAGCUUGUUGGUGGGGUAAUGGCCUACCAAGGCAACGACGGGUAGCUGGUCUGAGAGGAUGAUCAGCCACACUGGGACUGAGACACGGCCCAGACUCCUACGGGAGGCAGCAGUGGGGAAUCUUGCGCAAUGGGCGAAAGCCUGACGCAGCAACGCCGCGUGCGGGAUGAAGGCCUUCGGGCUGUAAACCGCUUUCAGCAGGAACGAAAAUGACGGUACCUGCAGAAGAAGGAGCGGCCAACUACGUGCCAGCAGCCGCGGUGACACGUAGGCUCCAAGCGUUGUCCGGAUUUAUUGGGCGUAAAGAGCUCGUAGGCGGUUGAGUAAGUCGGGUGUGAAAACUCUGGGCUUAACCCGGAGACGCCAUCCGAUACUGCUCUGACUAGAGUUCAGGAGGGGAGUGGGGAAUUCCUAGUGUAGCGGUGAAAUGCGCAGAUAUUAGGAGGAACACCGGUGGCGAAGGCGCCACUCUGGACUGAAACUGACGCUGAGGAGCGAAAGCAUGGGUAGCAAACAGGAUUAGAUACCCUGGUAGUCCAUGCCGUAAACGGUGGGCACU
rnacentral:rRNA from 1 species